ensembl:snRNA U6 U6 spliceosomal RNA
AUGCUCACUUCGGCAGCACAAAUACUAAAAUUGGAAUGAUAAGGAGAAGAUUAGUAUGGCCCCUGCAUAAGGAUGACACGCAAAUUCAUGAAGUGUUCCAUAUUAUU